rnacentral:tRNA from 1 species
GGGGCUAUAGCUCAGUUGGAAGAGCACCUGCUUUGCAAGCAGGGGGUCAUCGGUUCGAACCCGUUUAGCUCCACCA